rnacentral:lncRNA from 1 species
UAAGGUAUGGGCUGAUCGAACAUAUGGGUAAAGUGUACACCUCUGCGCAGAAUCAUAAUCUAUCUGGAUAGCUGACGCUCACAGUUACGAGCCCACAUAGUCAAAGCUCCCGUCGACUAAAAUCAUAACUUGAGUGUGGUAAGAUGGGGCCGAGGCUCUAAGAGGAGUAAUUUAGAAUGAGGCAUAAGCCAGCCUAGAAAGACCCUGACGGUCUUUGAUGCUUCUAAAACUUGGUGUUGACACAGAUUUUGGCUGAUAAAAUCCCAUGUUUGGUUAAGGAGGCUUGAUGGCAUCGGCCGAACAAGA